AUGGAGGGGCCUGCCAGACAAGGACAAAAGCCAGUGAAAAGGAUUAUCAUCUACCUCUCCUCAAGUGGUCACAGCUCCACCCAUCACAGCCAGCUAGUAUUUGGUCCAGCCCAGCUGCCAGAGAACAGGGACAGGUGCUGGCCCCACAGGUUUUGGUUUGCGUCUCAGUCACUGUGGUAUGUUUUCGGCGGAGGAACCAAGCUCACCGUCCUAGGUCAGCCAAAGUCUACUCCCACAGUCACAUGUUUCCACCUUCCUCUGAGGAGCUCAAGACAAACCAAGCCACAGUGGUGUGUAUGAUUAACGACUUCUACCCGGGCAGUGCAACAGUGACCUGGAAGGCAAAUGGUGUACCUAUCACCCAAGGUGUGCACACUACAAACCCCUCCAAACACAACAACAAGUACAUGGCCAACAGCUUCCUCACUUUGACAGCGGACCAGUGGAGAUCUCACAAUAGCUUGUCCUGCCAAGUUACACAUGAAGGGAAUGUGUAG